CCUACGGGUGGCAGCAGUGGGGGAUAUUGCACAAUGGGGGGAACCCUGAUGCAGCGACGCCGCGUGGGUGAAGAAGCGCCUCGGCGCGUAAAGCCCUGUCAGCAGGGAAGAAAAUGACGGUACCUGAAGAAGAAGCCCCGGCUAACGACGUGCCAGCAGCCGCGGUAAUACGUAGGGGGCAAGCGUUAUCCGGAUUGACUGGGGGGAAAGGGGGCGCAGACGGCGAGGCAAGCCAGGAGUGAAAGCCCGGGGCCCCACCCCGGGACUGCUCUUGGAACGGCGUGGCUGGAGUGCAGGAGGGGCAGGCGGAAUUCCUGGUGUCGCGGUGACAUGCGUAGAUAUCAGGCGGCACCCCGGUGGCGACGGCGGCCUGCUGGACUGCAACUGCCGUUGAGGCCCGACAGCGUGGGGAGCACACAGGAUUAGCUACCCGGGUAGUC
rnacentral:rRNA from 1 species